rfam:Salmo salar isolate Sally breed double haploid chromosome ssa04, whole genome shotgun sequence.
UAGCUCAGUUGGUAGAGCACGGUGUUUGCAACGCAUGGUGUUUGUAACGCCAGGGUUGUGGGUUCAAUUCCCAC